UGCAAGUCGAGCGCCCCGCAGGGGAGCGGCAGACGGGUGAGUAACGCGUGGGAAUCUACCGAGCCCUACGGAAUAACGCAUGGAAACGUGUGCUAAUACCGUAUACGCCCUACGGGGGAAAGAUUUAUCGGGGUUUGAUGAGCCCGCGUUGGAUUAGCUAGUUGGUGGGGUAAAGGCCUACCAAGGCGACGAUCCAUAGCUGGUCUGAGAGGAUGAUCAGCCACAUUGGGACUGAGACACGGCCCAAACUCCUACGGGAGGCAGCAGUGGGGAAUAUUGGACAAUGGGCGCAAGCCUGAUCCAGCCAUGCCGCGUGAGUGAUGAAGGUCUUAGGAUUGUAAAGCUCUUUCACCGGAGAAGAUAAUGACGGUAUCCGGAGAAGAAGCCCCGGCUAACUUCGUGCCAGCAGCCGCGGUAAUACGAAGGGGGCUAGCGUUGUUCGGAAUUACUGGGCGUAAAGCGCACGUAGGCGGAUAUUUAAGUCAGGGGUGAAAUCCCAGAGCUCAACUCUGGAACUGCCUUUGAUACUGGGUAUCUAGAGUAUGGAAGAGGUGAGUGGAAUUCCGAGUGUAGAGGUGAAAUUCGUAGAUAUUCGGAGGAACACCAGUGGCGAAGGCGGCUCACUGGUCCAUUACUGACGCUAGGUGCGAAAGCGUGGGGAGCAAACAGGAUUAGAUACCCUGGUAGUCCACGCCGUAACGAUGAAUGUUAGCCGUCGGGCAGCUGCUGUUCGGUGGCGCA
rnacentral:rRNA from 1 species